UACGUAGGGGGCAAGCGUUGUCCGGAUUCAUUGGGCGUAAAGAGCUCGUAGGCGGCUUGGCAAGUCGGGUGUGAAACCUCCAGGCUCAACCUGGAGACGCCACCCGAUACUGCCAUGGCUAGAGUCCGGUAGGGGACCACGGAAUUCCUGGUGUAGCGGUGAAAUGCGCAGAUAUCAGGAAGAACACCCGUGGCUAAGGCGGCUCUCUAGUACGGUACUGACGCUGAGACGCGAAAGCGUGGGGAGCGAACAGG
rnacentral:rRNA from 1 species